UACGAAGGGGGCUAGCGUUGCUCGGAAUUACUGGGCGUAAAGCGCACGUAGGCGGCUUGUUAAGUCAGGGGUGAAAUCCUGGAGCUCAACUCCAGAACUGCCUUCGAUACUGGCGAUCUUGAGUCCGGAAGAGGUGAGUGGAACUCCUAGUGUAGAGGUGGAAUUCGUAGAUAUUAGGAAGAACACCAGUGGCGAAGGCGGCUCACUGGUCCGGUACUGACGCUGAGGUGCGAAAGCGUGGGGAGCAAACAGG
rnacentral:rRNA from 1 species